AUUGAACGCUGGCGGCAUGCCUUACACAUGCAAGUCGAACGGUAACAGGGAGCUUGCUCCGCUGACGAGUGGCGAACGGGUGAGUAAUGUAUCGGAACGUACCAUUCAGUGGGGGAUAACGUAGCGAAAGUUACGCUAAUACCGCAUACGAUCUACGGAUGAAAGCGGGGGAUCGCAAGACCUCGCGCGAGUGGAGCGGCCGAUGUCAGAUUAGGUAGUUGGUGGGGUAAAGGCUCACCAAGCCAACGAUCUGUAGCUGGUCUGAGAGGACGACCAGCCACACCGGAACUGAGACACGGUCCAGACUCCUACGGGAGGCAGCAGUGGGGAAUUUUGGACAAUGGGCGCAAGCCUGAUCCAGCCAUUCCGCGUGCAGGAUGAAGGCCUUCGGGUUGUAAACUGCUUUUGUACGGAACGAAACGGCGAGCUCUAAUACAGUUUGCUAAUGACGGUACCGUAAGAAUAAGCACCGGCUAACUACGUG
rnacentral:rRNA from 1 species